rnacentral:rRNA from 1 species
ACUCAAAUGAAUUGACGGGGGCCCGCACAAGCAGCGGAGCGUGUGGUUUAAUUCGAUGCGACGCGAAGAACCUUACCUAGUCUUGACAUGCGUGUGGUAGGAAUGGGAAACCGGACCGACCCUCGGGAGCACGCACAGGUGCUGCAUGGCUGUCGUCAGCUCGUGCCGUGAGGUGUUGGGUUAAGUCCCGCAACGAGCGCAACCCUUGUCGUUAGUUUCACGUGUCUAGCGAGACUGCCCGCGUAAGCGGGAGGAAGGUGGGGAUGACGUCAAGUCAGCAUGGCCCUUAUGGCUAGGGCUACACACACGCUACAAUGGCCGGUACAACAGGUCGCCACACCGCGAGGUGGAGCCAAUCCCUCAAAGCCGGUCUCAGUUCAGAUUGCAGUCUGCAACUCGACUGCAUGAAGGCGGAGUUGCUAGUAACCGCAGGUCAGCAUUACUGCGGUGAAUACGUUCCCGGGCCUUGUACACACCGCCCGU